rnacentral:rRNA from 1 species
UAGGGAAUCUUCCGCAAUGGGCGAAAGCCUGACGGAGCAACGCCGCGUGAGUGAUGAAGGUCUUCGGAUCGUAAAACUCUGUUAUUAGGGAAGAACAAAUGUGUAAGUAACUAUGCACGUCUUGACGGUACCUAAUCAGAAAGCCACGGCUAACUACGUGCCAGCAGCCGCGGUAAUACGUAGGUGGCAAGCGUUAUCCGGAAUUAUUGGGCGUAAAGCGCGCGUAGGCGGUUUUUUAAGUCUGAUGUGAAAGCCCACGGCUCAACCGUGGAGGGUCAUUGGAAACUGGAAAACUUGAGUGCAGAAGAGGAAAGUGGAAUGCCAUGUGUAGCGGUGAAAUGCGCAGAGAUAUGGAGGAACACCAGUGGCGAAGGCGACUUUCUGGUCUGUAACUGACGCUGAUGUGCGAAAGCGUGGGGAUCAAACAGG